rnacentral:lncRNA from 1 species
UUUUUUUUUAAAGAAAGAACCUUUUAAAAAUGACUAAAAUAUAGUGAUUAAAGAAUGUUUAAUGAGGAGAGGUGCUUAUAUUUCAGUUAUCAGUGGUCUGUCUGUCAAAAUAAUCAUCUACAUAUCCUAUAGCUUUGGGGCAAGUUGUUUGCUCUCUCUGGAUCUCAGUAGCCAAAAAAUGGCGAGAUCUGGCAGUUGGGGUCUAGAAGUUCCCUUCUAUCUGUGUUUACAUCCCACAGUCCCAUGGGCAGACUGUAUGCAAGGUGAUGGCAGGUCUGUGGCUGAGUUUGAGGGGCUCGCAGGGACCCUCUGUGAGUAAGGAGGCUGGUAGAUUUACAAUCUCCUCUCUUCCUGUCUCCUCCCCACCUCAGAUCUGGUCUCUGGAGGCCAAGUCCUCCCAUAACCUUAAGCCAUAGAGGGUGAGAGUUGCAGUCAUAUUCAUGAACCCAGGGGCUUAGUAAGGGCUGCCACUGCUCCCUAACACUGAACCUGUUUGGUCUGUGUCCCCCAUAUGAAACUGAGACAGCGAUACGAAUCCAGACCGGAAAAUGGAAAAGUCUGGCAUUGGAGCAGUCCGCAGAACAAGGAAAAAACAGCUUUGCUUUGCUUGGCCCAUUGCUUCAGUAUCUUAUAGUUGGUUUUCUAUUUCUUGGAAGCAAUCAACAUUUCAUUGUUGUUUGCCUUCUGUGUCUUCUCUUUAGCUACUACACAGUUUUCCUCUCUGUCUCAUCACUCUCUUCCAGGGUUUUUACCCUUACUUUUGUGAAUUCUAUUUCUUUAAUGCUCCAAGACUGGUCGGAGAUAGGAACAACACAUAUUUAUAUAGCACUAUGUGCCAUUUUCUAUGCAAAAUGCCUCACAUAUACCCAUUUAUCUAAUCCUCAUACCAAGUAAAUGGGGUGGUACUAUUCCCAUCUUAGGGAUGUGUCUACGGAGGCACAGAGAAGUUAAGUCACUUGCCCAAGUUUGCACUGUGGCAGAGCUAGGAUUUGAACCCCUGCAGUGUGGCUCCAGAGCACAUGCUCCUAAUCACUACAUCAUGUUGUCUUUUCAUCUUGAUUUAAAGGCAAAAAAAUAGGAUGGGCACGGCGGCCCACAUCUGUAAUCCCAGCAUUUUGGGAGGCUUAGGCGGGUGGAUCACCUGAGGUCAGGAGUUCAAGACCAGCCUGGCCAACAUGGUGAAACCCCGUCUCUACUAAAAAUACAAAAGUUAGCCGGGCGUUAUGGUGCAUGCCUGUAAUCCCAGCUAUUUGGGAGGCUGGGGCAGGAGAAUCACUUGAACCUGGGAGGCAGAGGUUGCAGUGAGCCGAGAUCGUGCCACUGGACUCCAGCCUGGGCAACAGAGUAAGACUCUGUCUCAAAAAAUAAAAUAAAAUAAAAUAAAAUAAAAAAGGUGAAGAAAUAGAAGAACACAGAAGGAAGCCAUCGCUGUCUGAGAGCAGAGACUAUGCUUUUUCUUUCUCCGCUCGCAUCUCAGAAAUACACAAGUAUCAUUUGCAACACAGGUAUGCCUAGGUUGAAGAAAUUGAGUAAACAUGCAUAUUUCUCGCAGUUAGUUCUUUCUUUAGAACAUAGAAGAGAGUGCCUAGCUGUUAGCUGGAAAGUUUAGAGGUAUCAUUCUAUUUUUGGAGUGAGUCCCUUCCCCUUUUCUUGUAACUUCAAGUGCAGCUUAUUAUGCUCUUAUCUAGCUCAAAAGAUUAGGGUAAAGCAUUUUGUAAAGUGUAAAAAAGCUGGUGAAAUGAUGAACAGUGGUUAAAACUGAACAUGAGAGGGAACAAGGAAUACCUUGUGGUGUAAAAUCUCUGUGCUUAGCUGUGCCAAAGAAUUUUUUUCAGGAAAACUUGCACAAGAUCUUGGCAGUGGUGUCUUGGGCUUUAUCUUUUUAAGUAAGUGUUCAUUACUGCUUACAUCAUUGUUGCUAUUAUUAUUUUGAUAAGUGUGCAUUGCCAAGGAUGCUCUGUGUCAGGGGUUCUCCAACUCCCAUGUGCACGAGAAUCACACACAGGGCUUGUGAAAAUCGCAGAGUCCAUAACUCCCCCAGAGAACUGGAUUCUGCAGGUCUUGUCUUGGAAGCUGCAAUUUUGGCCUUUGCAUUAAUUAAAAUUUCUUGGCUAGUACAAAAUCACAAAGUUGUAAGUUAGAAUGCACUAAAAAAAAUUGUUCUUUUCACCCCUCUACCUCAGUCAGUCAGUUCCUCUCCCAGAUGUUACUUCCUUCUUUUUCUCUUUCUUCCUUUCCUUUCCUUCUUUCUUUUCUUUUCUUUUUCUCCUUCUCCUCCUCCUCCUCCUUCUUCUUCUUUCAUUUCUUUCCUUUCUUUCCCUUCCUUCCUUCCCCCCUUUUUUUUUUUCGCUAGAGUCUCCCUCAGUCGCCCAGACUGGAGUGCAGUGGCGUGAUUUUGGCUCACUGCAACCUCCACCUGCCAGGUUCAAGUGAUUCUCCUGCUUCAGCCUCCCCAGUAGCUGGGACUACAAGCAUGCACCGCUGCACCCAGCUAAUUUUUGUAUUUUUAGUAAAGAUGGGGCUUCUCCAUGUUGGUCAGGCUGGUCUUGAACUCCUGACCGCAAGUGAUCUGUCGGCUAGGCCUCCCGAAGUGCUGGGAUUACAGGCGUGAGCCACCGCGCCUAACCAUAACUUCUUAUUUCUUGCAUGGAUUGUAUGCAUUGACUAGGGACACACAAUAUAUUCCAGUUUUUUGACAUAUAGGAUAGCGCACUAUACACAUUGCUUUGCAUUUUGCUUUUUUCACUUAGCAUAUCUGGGUAGGUCAUUAUUUAAUCAGUGCCAUAUUUAAGUACAUUUGUUUCCAGCCUUUGGUUUUUUUGAGUAAUGCUGCAAUUAAUAUCCCUUAUCUGUGUCAUUUCACGCAGGUGCAAAUAUACCUGUAAAAUGAAUUUCUGGAAGCAGCAUUACUGACUCAAGGGUAUCUACUUUUCAUUUUGAUAGAUAUUGCCAAAUUGCUCUCACAGAGGUUUCCCCAAUUUGUACUCCCACCAGCAAUGGACAAGAGUGUUUUUUCUUUUUCACACAAGUCUGGUGUCAAACAUUCUGAUCUUGUCAGUCUUGAUUCUCUGAGUUUUGUUUUGCAUUUCUCUUAUUGUGAGCGAAGUCGAACAUAUUUUCCUAUGAUUAGGAGCCAUGUGUAAUUCCUUUUAUGUGAACUUUUUGCCCAUCUCUGUCCAUUUUCUUUACUUAUUUUUUCUAUUGGGUUAUCAGUCUCAUUGAUUUGAGAAGUUCUUCGCAUGUUAAGGAAAGCAGCCCUUUGUCUGAAAUAUACUUGAAAUAUAUAUACAUAUAUUCUGGCUUUUUGUUUUACUUUGUUUAUACUUUUUAAAAAGUCAUGAUGAUCUUUUCUUUCAUAAAGUAAUUCAAUUUAUUGGUCUUUUCUUUUAUGACUUUGGAGUUUUGUAUAAUAUUAGGAAGGCCUUCCCCACCAUUAAGAUGAUUUUUUUAAAAUCCCGUGUUUUCUUCUAGUAUUUUUAUGGUUUUAUUUUUGAGGUUUGCAUUGUUUUUUAAAUCUGGAACUUUUGUUGUUGGUUGUUGUAACAUGUAGAAUAUAUAUUCAACAUUUGUCCAAAUGGCAACCUUAUUGUCACAGCAUCAUUUCCUGAAAAAUCCAUUUCCCUCCCACUGAUUGAAAAUAGAAAGUCAAAAUUAUAUAAAUUCUCAUAUGUAUAUGUACUCUUUUAUAAAUUCUUAUGUGGAUAUAUAUUUAAUAUAAAUUUACAUAUACAUUUGGGUCUAUUUCUAUCUAUUUUGUACCAAUGAUAUGUUUAUAUAUGUGUCAAUCUCAUACUUUUUUUUGAUUAUUAUAUAAGCAUGCCUCACUUAGCGACAAGAAUACUUUCUGAGAAGUACAUCAGGCAAUUUCAUCAUUGUGUGAACAUCACAGAGUGUGGUUACAUAAAUUUAGAUGGUUUAGCCUACCACAUACCUAGGCUAUAAUGAUAUAGCCUAUGGCUCUUAGGCUACAAACUUGUACAGCAUGUGACUCUACUGAAUACUGUAUGCAACUGUAACACAAUGGUAAGUAUUUAUGUAUCUAAACAUAUCCAAACUUAGAUAAUGUACAGUAAAAAUACAGUAUUAUCAUUUUAUGGGACCACCUUCAUAUAUAUGCAGUCCAUUUUUGACCAAAAUGUCAUUGUGUGGUGCAUGACUAUACUUUGCAUGUAUUUUACUGUUUAGAAGGCCAGCUCCUUUUCAUUGAUCUUAUUUUUUAAAUAAGAAUUUGAUCACUAUUCUUGCUUACUUGUUUUUCCACAUAAACUUUAGAAUUAGCUUGUUCCUUUUCAAAAAAAUCCUGUUGGUAUUUUUAUUGGAAUAGUAUUAAAAUUUUAGAUUAUCUUAGGGAGAAUUAAUAUCUUAAUUUUAUUAAGUCUUCCUGUCCAAGAUGAAGUAUGUCUUUUUUGUUUGUUAAAAUUUUUUUUUCUGUGUCCCUCAUAAGAAUUUUAACCUUUUCUUCCUGUAGAUCUUGUGCAUGUUUCUGGUUAAGUUUAUUCUUAGGUGUUCAAUACUUUUUGAUGUUAGUUUAUUCUAAUGGAUUGUCAUGUUCAUUAAGAGUAUAGUAAGCCUCUUUCCCAGAACCAUUUAAAAUUCUCAUAUUUUUUUUCGGUUGAUUCUCUUGUGUUUUCUGAGAGAAUAUGCAGUUUCUAUUUGUACUGCUGGUGGUUCAGGUGUUGGUGGAAACACUUUUCAUGGUGUUGUCUGAUUAAGGAAAUCUAGGUACCUCACACUGCAUUUAUUCACUUAAAUCAUCAAUUCAUAUAACUUUAG